rnacentral:rRNA from 1 species
GAUGAACGCUGGCGGUAUGCCUAACACAUGCAAGUCGUACGAGAGUUUUUAACUCUAGUGGCGGACGGGUGAGUAACACGUGAGAAUUUGCCUUUAGGAGGGGGACAACAAUUGGAAACGAAUGCUAAUACCCCAUAUGCUUUCGAGUGAAAUGGAUUUUAUCCGCCUAGAGAGAAGCUCGCGGCUGAUUAGCUUGUUGGUAAGGUAAGAGCUUACCAAGGCGACGAUCAGUAUCUGGUUUGAGAGGACGAUCAGACACACUGGAACUGAGACACGGUCCAGACUCCUACGGGAGGCAGCAGUGGGAAUUUUCCGCAAUGGGCGAAAGCCUGACGGAGCAAUACCGCGUGAGGGAAGAAUGCCUAUGGGUUGUAAACCUCUUUUUUCAGGGAGGAAUAAAAUGACGUGUACCUGAAGAAUAAGCAUCGGCUAACUCCGUG